GCCGAGGUAGCUCAAGGGUAGAGCAACGCACUCGUAACGCGUAGGUUGUGGGUUCGAUUCCCACCCUCGGCU
rnacentral:tRNA from 1 species